rnacentral:rRNA from 1 species
AUACGUAGGUGACAAGCGUUAUCCGGAUUUACUGGGCGUAAAGGGCGUGUAGGCGGUCUUGCAAGUCAGAAGUGAAAUUCCUGAGCUCAACUCGGGCGCUGCUUCUGAAACUGCAGGACUUGAGUGCUGGAGGGGAUAGCGGAAUUCCUAGUGGAGCGGUAAAAUGCGCAGAUAUUAGGAGGAACACCAGUGGCGAAGGCGGCCUGCUGGACGACAACGGACGCUGAGGCGCGAAAGCGUGGGGAGCAAACAGGAUUAGAUACCCUGGUAGUCCACGCUGUAAACGAUGAAUACUAGGUGUGGGGGGACUGACCCCCUCCGUGCCGCAGUUAACACAAUAAGUAUUCCACCUGGGGAGUACGAUCGCAAGAUUGAAACUCAAAUGAAUUGACGGGG